rnacentral:rRNA from 1 species
UACUCCUACGGGAGGCAGCAGUAGGGAAUCUUCCUCAAUGGGCGAAAGCCUGAUGGAGCAACGCCGCGUGAGUGAAGAAGGUUUUCGGAUCGUAAAACUCUGUUGUAAGGGAAGAACAAGUACAGCAGUAACUGGCUGUACCUUGACGGUACCUUAUUAGAAAGCCACGGCUAACUACGUGCCAGCAGCCGCGGUAAUA